ACCAAUUCUAACCCAUUAUUAUAAAGAAUUAACAUUUUUCCAAGCGUGACCCACCUUGGAGGCGAUCCUUAAUUGGGUCACCCCAUAGUUGGCUGGCAGGGAUUAUAUGAGAUGAGGUAACCUAAGGCCAGUGGACCUUUCUAUAUGCCUGGGGAUUGGAGAAGGGCUGGACUGGAGGUAUAGAGUAGAUUGAUUCACUUAUAUCUUGUAAUGGAAUUCCAAGCAUUACAAGAAGGUAAACUACAAUUUUUCAGGCAACGGGGUAGAGUAGUUUCCUCCCAAUAAUGCAAUUCCAAUAUUCUCUUUGAAGAAAAUAGAAGGUAAACUACAAAUUUUCUCCCAAAACAGAACAACUACAGUCGAACAAUUGAUUAGAGCACUUUCAAACAUGAACAUCAUUCUUUUUUCCUUGUAUAUUUAACUUUGAUAAUCAGUCAUUGUGCUUAUUUAAUUUGACACUGCAUACUUGGGAACAAUGCUUUGGUUAUGUCCCAAGCAAAGUGAAUGCUUUGAGCAACAUCUCAUGUACAGGAAACUUCUACCGCUAAACUCUUUUUAACUCCUCUGCAAGGAUCCCCAAAUGUAUUGAUUGAUACACCAAUGCUACAACUCUUUGAUCCAACACAAGCCUUCUGCAAAAUGGAAAGAGCACUACUGCUGCUGCAUUGGCCAUGGCUAAAGGUCCCACAAGUUCCAUGUGGGGUUCCAAAGCUUGCAAACUUGAUUGAAGAAAUGACCUGAUUAGGAUGUGGGCAUUCCAGUGAUAGUAUAGGUCCUGAUUUUUUUAAUGCUUCUAAAUCUGUGUUCCACAUAUCUACAGGUAAUGGGUGGGACUCCGACACAUGAGAGCACAAACUUCCAACCUUUCUUAUAGCAAAACCUAUCUUUGUUGGAUCCCCACCGACUUCCUCAAACAAUACAAGGGUGUUGCCACUUGAUUUCACCCAAGAACGGGGUACAUGGUACAAAGUCUGAGAAGGCUUUGCACAGUUCUUCAAGCAUUUGUUCGAAUUGUAAGCUCCUAUGUAAUUGCAAGAGUCAGUGCAACCACUAUUUGGAGACACAUUGGUUGGCCAAUAACGUCCAAUGCUUUGUCCAUUCACCCAUGCCUCACCCUUUCCCAUUCCUGUGAAAUCAAUUGCAAUAGGAUCGUUGCCAGCGGGUGCAUCGAAAUUGGUCUUGUACCAUAUCAAUGGCUGAUUAGUAGGCAAGUUAGGCUGUGAAAUCCAUUGUGAAGAACUUCCACUAGGAAGACCUAAUUCUUCACCUUUAAGUCCAAUCUGCGCUCACAAUAUAACUUAUAAAGAAAGGAACUUGAAGAGUUUAACAUUUCAUCUAAAUCCAAACAAAUGCAGCAUUUCACCCCUUUAGAGGCUGGUAUCCUCCACUUUAUUCAGAUUGGAAUUUUCUUCUCUUCCAUCUGCUCUAUAUUUUUUAUUGCAAAGAUUGUGGUAGUUACCAUUUCCUGGUACUAGGCCUGCUCUAACAGGACAAUAUGGAAAACAAAGACUUGCCUGAUAUGUCCACUGCCGUGAAGAGAGAUCAACAGUAGUGCCAUUUUGCCCUACCAGCUUUACUGGACCAGUUAUUCCAGCACCAAUUGAAUCAUAAAAAGCUCCAUGAUUAGAUAGUCCAACAGUCAAACUUAGGAGAUCAAUAGUGUUCUUCCCAGGUAUAACUAUGAUGGGAAUAUCGACUGAAACCUUGGCACUGCUCUUGCCUGUUCCGCUCCCUGCAAGUUUCCCAUUAACAAAAACAUGAAGAGCGUGGCCAAGAGAAUCCACAUGAAGAAUGGUUUGAGAUCCAUCUUCAAGGAAGGGUUCAUUGCCUUUUAUAUUAGUGCUGCCAAAUAUAAACAGAAGGAUUUUCAGAAACAUUUAUAUGGGACUCAUCAAUAUAAUUACGGCAGCAAACCAUGCCUUAAGGAAACAGCCAUUAAAACAAUUGACUUGCAUACCUUAUUGAAUACCACAAGGAGUCACUUUUAUCAGCUGUAGUGUUUAUCUGCUCCAAUAAUCCAGAUUUUACAAAUGCAUCUUUCUUUGAAAUACCCACUGGUUCUUUUAUCCAACUCCAGACAGAGCUGACUGCCUUGGAGUAAGCAACAUCACUUACCAGAGAUUGAUGUGUGAAGCUUGGAAUAACAGUCACAGAGUUAACCUAUCAUAUGAAAGUUAACAACCAUUGCUUAUGCUACUAGUAGGAACUAGUGAGUCUAUUUUGUGAAUAAAUAAAAAGUCAGGGCAUGACUUUUCCCUCUGCUUAUAAUGUCCCAUUAAUAAAAAUCACUCUUCCUAAUAUCUAAAAUAACAAAAUAAAUUUUUAAAAAGAUCCAUUGAAACAAAGAGAAAGAAGUAAACAAUUAAAAUAUAAUGGUGAAAUACUUUCUGAAUGUGACCUAGCUUUGAGCUUCUGGACAUAUGGUUCUGGAAUUAGCUGCCAAUGUGAAACUGACUAAGGAAUAGAAGUCAUGGAUCCACUCUUCAGCCCACAAUAUUCAACAGUAUACACAUGUGCACAUAAACCUCAAGAACAAGUAUAUGCAAACAAAUGCUAAUGAGACAAACCUUUGCAGUAUUGAGAACUACAUUCUUGCAGUCUGGUAAGAUGCUCACAGACCAGGCAGGCAAAUUAUAUGAGUUUCCAUUAAAAGUUACUGUUUUGUCGGAAGUAUCAACAUUGGCAAGAAAAGCAGAACAUGAUCCUGAUCCCGUUUUAUAGACAGUUGCCUGAAAAAACAAUUAUAAGUUAGCAAGUCUGAUCAUUGUAAUGAGUUAUCAACACCCUCAAAUUUGUUUCUUUUUCCUUUCCCUUUUCUCUAUCUUCUUAAAAUCUCACUAUUAAGUUUACAUUCCCAUACAAACACUAACAUAUGUACACAAGUGAAACUGAUCAUAUUCACAGGGUAGAAAAUGAAAAUUGAGCUCUGUCCAACCAUUUGCAAGAUCAAUAAAAGAAAAAAGGGACUCUAAUAUUCCAAGGAUGACGAAGAUGAAGAAGGGGAGGAAACGAUAGCACUAAAUGUAUAUCCUGUCAUGAGUUAAUGUUCAGAGUCGGAAAAACAAGAACAUGCUUUCUUCUUUAACACUCACUUAAGGCAGGGUAAACACCAUGAAACUCCCAGACGUAAGGCAAAUUACAGAAUAAAAACUAGAUGUUAU
rnacentral:misc_RNA from 1 species